rnacentral:rRNA from 1 species
GACGAACGCUGGCGGCGUGCUUAACACAUGCAAGUCGAACGGAAAGGCCCUGCUUGCAGGGUACUCGAGUGGUGAACGGGUGAGUAACACGUGGGUGAUCUGCCCUGCACUUCGGGAUAAGCUUGGGAAACUGGGUCUAAUACCGGAUAGGAACCAUCUUUAGUGUGGUGGUUGGAAAGUUUUUUCGGUGUAGGAUGAGCUCGCGGCCUAUCAGCUUGUUGGUGGGGUAAUGGCCUACCAAGGCGGCGACGGGUAGCCGGCCUGAGAGGGUGUACGGCCACAUUGGGACUGUGAUACGGCGCAGACUCCUACGGGAGGCAGCAGUGGGGAAUAUUGCACAAUGGGCGCAAGCCUGAUGCAGCGACGCCGCGUGUGGGAUGAAGGCCUUCGGGUUGUAAACUCCUUUCGCUAGGGACGAAGCUUUGUUGUGACGGUACCUAGAGAAGAAGCACCGGCUAACUACGUG